rnacentral:rRNA from 1 species
UGGGGAAUUUUGGACAAUGGGCGCAAGCCUGAUCCAGCCAUGCCGCGUGCGGGAAGAAGGCCUUCGGGUUGUAAACCGCUUUUGUCAGGGAAGAAACGCUCUGGGCUAAUACCCUGGGGUAAUGACGGUACCUGAAGAAUAAGCACCGGCUAACUACGUGCCAGCAGCCGCGGUAAUACGUAGGGACCAAGCGUUGUUCGGAUUUACUGGGCGUAAAGGGCGCGUAGGCGGCAUGACAAGUCACUUGUGAAAUCUCUGGGCUUAACCCAGAACGGCCAAGUGAUACUGUCGCGCUAGAGUGCAGAAGGGGCAAUCGGAAUUCUUGGUGUAGCGGUGAAAUGCGUAGAUAUCAAGAGGAACACCUGAGGCGAAGGCGGGUUGCUGGGCUGAUACUGACGCUGAGGCGCGAAAGCUAGGGUAGCAAACGGGAUUAGAUACCCAAGUAGUCCCUGAGCGGGCUGGCAAGGCGCAU